UACAUGUGGGGCAAGCGUUGUUCGGAAUUACUGGGCAUAAAGGGUGCGUAGGUGGUUUGUUAAGUCAGGGGUGAAAUCCCGCGGCCCAACCGUGGAACUGCCUUUGAUACUGGCGAACUUGAGUGCGUGAGGGGUAGGGGGAACGAGCAGUGUAGCGGUGAAAUGCGUAGAUAUUGGGAGGAACACCAAUGGCGAAGGCAGCUCGCUGGGACGUGACUGACGCUGAGACGCGAAAGCGUGGGGAGCAAACAGG
rnacentral:rRNA from 1 species